ensembl:lncRNA
GGUGUUUUCACAGCAGCUGACACAGUGUAUGUGUUUUCUAUUUGUAACCUGCCAUGGAGCUGGCUUAUUAUCAGAGGAGUGACCACAGUGUCACAGUAACUGCCCUUAUCCCCACAUUCACGCUCACCCCUCCGUCUAUUACCAUUGCCCUGGUCUUGUUCCAUGCCAUCUGUGUCCAUAGCAACUGGACAGAAUAGGUUACUUAUUAUAGGACAGGGGCUCAGCUGCCAGGUAGUUUACAAUGAGAUUUGUCAUAUCCUCUUCCAAACAGGUCAACAGCACAUGAGGUACAGGAGGUCAGAGAGAUCUGGUGACUGUAGAGGCCAUUUGAAUGCAGUGAACUCAUUGCCACGUUCAAGAAACCUCUUUAAGACAAUCUGAAUGUUGUGACAUGGAGUGUUAUCCUGCUGGAAGAUGGACGCACUCAGGGGCUCGCUGAGCGAUGUGGCCCUUUUGUGGAAUGGAUAGAUCUACAGAUAAAAGACAAGUUUAAAACGCCGGUGACUCAGCCGGGGUGUUGUCAAAUAAAUUGGGACGACACCUCUUUCGUCCCAGGAGAUGCUACGUGCUUCGUUAUGGCGAGCUCCGGUGAAGCUCUUCCUGUGCUGUGACUAAUUAUGACCCAGACUCAGAGCGUCUCCUCGGCUCCGGCCAGGUUAAACUCUAACCUCUGUGACAUCACGCAGUUCUCUGACUGAACAUGUCUUGGUGAUGUCAGGUCAGAGGAGGAGGAGAAUGAUCAAGACUGCUUUGAGGAAGGCAAAUCAGUACCUCAACCACAACCAAGAUAUGUAAGAGAGUGCCUUUGAACAUACAACAAAUUUAACUUUGAAGCACAAGACCACACCGGGUGCUGCACCUACAGCUAAGAACAGUAAAAUGUCAAAACAAUCCCCACGGGAUCCUGCAAUUCACAUAGUAGGAUGGGAAUCCGGUGUGAACAAUAAGUCUCAGGCCCAGUCUGGUGUGAACAGAUGGUAUGGAUCCAUCCUGCCU